GAUGAACGCUGGCGGCGUGCCUAAUACAUGCAAGUCGAGCGAAUGGAUUAAGAGCUUGCUCUUAUGAAGUUAGCGGCGGACGGGUGAGUAACACGUGGGUAACCUGCCCAUAAGACUGGGAUAACUCCGGGAAACCGGGGCUAAUACCGGAUAACAUUUUGAACCGCAUGGUGCGAAAUUGAAAGGCGGCUUCGGCUGUCACUUAUGGAUGGACCCGCGUCGCAUUAGCUAGUUGGUGAGGUAACGGCUCACCAAGGCAACGAUGCGUAGCCGACCUGAGAGGGUGAUCGGCCACACUGGGACUGAGACACGGCCCAGACUCCUACGGGUGGCAGCAGUAGGGAAUCUUCCGCAAUGGACGAUAGUCUGACGGAGCAACGCCGCGUGAGUGAUGAAGGCUUUCGGGUCGUAAAACUCUGUUGUUAGGGAAGAACAAGUGCUAGUUGAAUAAGCUGGCACCUUGACGGUACCUAACCAGAAAGCCACGGCUAACUACGUGCCAGCCGCCGCGGUAA
rnacentral:rRNA from 1 species